UGUGUUUUGUACAAACAAUCAGUAAUUCAUUUGUGGUGAAGAUGGGUUUGAGGCUCAUGAAAAUAAGUCCUCAGUGACUUAGAGGACUCUGCAAAGCUGGAUCUCCUAUGCUUUGGGAUCCCUUCCUCCCCCUCUUGGAUCUUGUAACAGAGGACAUGAUGAGUGAAGGAAAUAAUUUCUGAAAGGAUCAGGAUGGACAAUAAAAGCAAAAGAACAAAGCAGAGUGCUCUCCAUAUCCACUCCUCCAUGUCCUCCACACGUAGCAUAACAAAUCAACCUGCCUAGUAAAUAACAAAGUGCAGAAACACAUGAACUCGGUGGAGCUUGCUGACAUUACAUAUAUUACUAUGAACAAAAUUUAAAUUUGAAAUAUGCACUCCUGGUGAGCACAGAAAAAGGAACUUUACCAAUAAAAAGCAUGAGCUGCUUUCAGAACA